rnacentral:rRNA from 1 species
AGAGUUUGAUCAUGGCUCAGAACGAACGCUGGCGGCAGGCCUAACACAUGCAAGUCGAGCGCUACCUUCGGGUGGAGCGGCGGACGGGUUAGUAACGCGUGGGAAUAUACCCAGUUCUAAGGAAUAGCCACUGGAAACGGUGAGUAAUACCUUAUACGCCCUUCGGGGGAAAGAUUUAUCGGAAUUGGAUUAGCCCGCGUUAGAUUAGAUAGUUGGUGGGGUAAUGGCCUACCAAGUCUACGAUCUAUAGCUGGUUUGAGAGGAUGAUCAGCAACACUGGGACUGAGACACGGUCCAGACUCCUACGGGAGGCAGCAGUGGGGAAUCUUAGACAAUGGGCGAAAGCCUGAUCUAGCCAUGCCGCGUGAGUGAUGAAGGCCCUAGGGUCGUAAAGCUCUUUCAACUGUGAAGAUAAUGACGGUAGCAGUAGAAGAAACCCCGGCUAACUCCGUGCCAGCAGCCGCGGUAAUACGGAGGGGGUUAGCGUUGUUCGGAAUUACUGGGCGUAAAGCGUACGUAGGCGGAUUAAUAAGUUAGAGGUGAAAUCCCAGGGCUCAACCCUGGAACUGCCUUUAAAACUGUUAGUCUUGAGAUCGAGAGAGGUGAGUGGAAUUCCAAGUGUAGAGGUGAAAUUCGUAGAUAUUUGGAGGAACACCAGUGGCGAAGGCGGCUCACUGGCUCGAUACUGACGCUGAGGUACGAAAGUGUGGGGAGCAAACAGGAUUAGAUACCCUGGUAGUCCACACCGUAAACGAUGAAUGCCAGACGUCAGCAAGCAUGCUUGUUGGUGUCACACCUAACGGAUUAAGCAUUCCGCCUGGGGAGUACGGUCGCAAGAUUAAAACUCAAAGGAAUUGACGGGGGCCCGCACAAGCGGUGGAGCAUGUGGUUUAAUUCGACGCAACGCGCAGAACCUUACCAACCCUUGACAUACUUGUCGCGGAUUCCAGAGAUGGAUUCCUUCAGUUCGGCUGGACAAUGUACAGGUGCUGCAUGGCUGUCGUCAGCUCGUGUCGUGAGAUGUUCGGUUAAGUCCGGCAACGAGCGCAACCCACGUCCUUAGUUACCAGCAUUUAGUUGGGUACCCUAAGGAGACUGCCGGUGAUAAGCCGGAGGAAGGUGUGGACGACGUCAAGUCAUCAUGGCCCUUACGGGUUGGGCUACACACGUGCUACAAUGGCAUCUACAGUGAGUUAAUCUCCAAAAGAUGUCUCAGUUCGGAUUGGGGUCUGCAACUCGACCCCAUGAAGUUGGAAUCGCUAGUAAUCGCGGAACAGCAUGCCGCGGUGAAUACGUUCCCGGGCCUUGUACACACCGCCCGUCACACCAUGGGAAUUGGGUCUACCCGAAGGUGGUGCGCCAACUAUUUAUAGAGGCAGCCAACCACGGUAGGUUCAGUGACUGGGGUGAAGUCGUAACAAGGUA